GCAGUGAAUGGGAUGUAAAGUGAAUAGGUAAAAUAAAGUUAAAUUAAAUAAAAAAAAAGAUCUGAGCUGUGAGGACUCCAGCUGCCAUGCCUAUUGUACGCUGCCUUGCUGUGCCAACCGUCAUGGACGCUUAUCCCUCGGGAACUGUGAGCCAAAAGAAGCUCUGCCUUCCGGAAGUUUUCUAAGCCAUGAUGUUUCAUCACAGCGAAGGGGAUUUAAGAGGUGCGCCUGAGCAAGCACAUGCGCUGUAACUGAUGCCAGCCGUGUCUGUCGUUGAUCAUGAGGUGUGUUUCUCGAAUGGAGCCAGAAGUAUGCUACUCCAUAAGAUACAACGGAUGCCAAGCCGAUUCCUAGCUACAUUAUCAGGGCCUGAGCCUUCCACAGAAACAAAAAUGAUUCAAUUUGCUCGAACCUGGCACUUUUCGACCAUAUUCAACUAAGAAGCCCCAAGUGCAGUUUAGAAUUUAAUGACUGGAAAGAGUGAGAAGAAGGAAUUAACAAAGACAAGACGGGUUAUGUUUACUUGUGUUCAGGAGCCAGUGGAGGCCAGAAGAAGGCAUUGGAGCCUUUGAAGGUGGAGGUAGAGGCUGUUGGGAACCAUCUAACCAGGGUGCUGGAAAGGUUCCUCUGUAAGAGAAGUAUAUGGUCUUAAACACUGAUCCAUCUCUCCAUCCCACCCUUUACAAGGAUGUGUAUGGAUGCAAGUACUUGUAUGUCUGUGAGUGUUUUGGAGGCCAGACGUCACAUCAGGCAUCUAUCACUUUCACCUAAUUGACCGAAUCAAUGUCUCUUACUUGUACUAAUAGCUUGCUGACUCUGCUAGGCUAGUUAACCAGCUUGCCCUUCGGGAUCCGACUCUCACCUCCUGGCCAUUGGGAUCACACACAGAUGAACUGCUGCACCUUUCUGACAUUUACCUGGGUGCAGGGGGUUUGAACUCAGGUCCUCAUAUUUGGGUGGAAGUAUAAUUCUACUGUGAGUGCCCAAAGGGGAGAGCUUACAUGGCUGAAUUCGAAUAAUACCAGUAGGAUGCGAGAGCAGCCCCACAGAAUGAAACUUAUAUUGUCAACAUGAGUAAGCAAAGGUGACUGAGAUGAUAACUUAUUUCAUAAGGCUACCGGGACCACAAUAAUGGUAGCCGUGCACAGACUCAAGCAGAAGUAGAGUAUCUUCAGGCAUGAUGUAGGACUUAAUCCCGGACUUAGAAAAUGGUUUAAGCGGUGAUUUGAAUUGACCUCAAAGCAAUACCCAUGAAGAUUCUCUCAGCAGGCUUACAGCUAACAUCAAAUUUUAAAUCAAUGCCUGUUUCUUCGUAAGGGCCACGGAGUCUCUGUCAUCUUAACGGCUCAUAUGAAUUACUCGUUAAAACAAAAAUAAACAGGAAACCAAGAAGCAGACAACCUCGCAGUACCUAUCUCCUCAAUGAGUAAGUCACCCAGGCACAUUACAUAUUCCAAGGAAACAGACAGAGCUCUUAACUCAUCAACACUGCCCAGCCUAAUGCAAUUCUUCUACAUUAGCAAAGCAGGGACAUUACAUCACUUCUAUUUUUACAAUUUCUGUCAUAGGGCUGUAUUUUUGUGCUGUGCAAAUCUUCAGACCAAUUUCUUUCAAGAUUUACAUUUAAAGAAAUAGUUUGUAAUAAACCACAAAUAAAUUUAUGGAGUACUAUAAAACUGGCACAGACUUCCUCAAAAUUCAUCUGUGAACAAUCACAGCGAAAUGAAUUUCUUUUUUCAUUUCUUCUCCCAUUUGCUGAUGGUGGCAGAGACCACUAGUUGACCUCUUAGUAUAUAUUAUACACCUUUUCCUCAACAAACUAAAAGGCUUCCUUCGGACUAGAUAAAUGGCUACCUGGAGCAAGGUCAGCAGUUCCUGCAGUCCACACAGCCAUGUCACUGAAUUUUGAUCACAGUGCUCAACCAUGGUAAACUAGUUCUUAAAAUAUCACUUUACCGUGAAUGUGUGGAUCUUUCCCUAACUGUUGUUCUAAGAUUUUGCUGAGUGGAAUCAUACGGGCAAGGUGAAGCCCAAGCAGCCAUUUUGGAACAUGAAGCCAAACUCUUGACCCCAAAGAAGAGGUAGUGAGUGCUGCUGGACUAGGACCGCUGCCUCCACAUUGACAGACCGUGGACAUCUAACUCCAGAAGAGGCUACCAUGUUGGUUAAGUCAUUUCUCUGAGUUCUCCAUUUUUCAAGUGAAAUUAAUUGAAAAUGAUAGAUCACCCUCCCACUAUUCUCCACAAAACUUUCUUUCUCCUUAGUGUUUCACUAUACUUGGCUGCGCCCUGGCCUAGAACACAGCAGGUCAUUUAUUAUUUUUAAAACUAGUCUGUGAAAUAAUGGAUCCCAUCAAGGCAUUUCCUCACAGGCUUAUAUACUUUUAGCAUCCUCACGCCCCGCACCCUCUCACCCCACUUUCCCUCUGAGCGGACCCCCUUUCUCUCCAAAAUGCAUUCCCUACUUGCUCUCUUCUUUGUGGCUGAAUAGAACUCCACUGUGUACAUGUGCCUCAGUUCUCAUGAAUUCAUCUGCUGAAGGACAUCUAAGCUGCUCCGUGUCUUGGCUCUAGACCAGCCCUGCAUGCCCUUUCAUAAGAAAGUUCUUGAGAACAACAACUAUGGUGAAACUCUACUAAGGAGGAGUUAUCCAAGCCCCAGCACAACGGAACCGGAUGCAACAUACAACACUAACUGCACAUCAACUAAGGGGAACCUGAACCCGUGCCAUCUCAACAGUAUGGCUAUAGGCAAGACCGGAACCAUGCCAACACCCACUGACAUGCCAAUACAGAUGGGAAAAAUCUCACAAGGCCCCAGCCCAAGAGGAAGAGCAAUCUAUGGACAUUCCAGUUGCCAAGAGAGGAGCCAUCUCUGUGGACAAGGUCCCUGAUAGGUCAUCCAAUCCCACACACUCAUCCUUAAACACAAAGACAUCUGAGCAACACUAAGCAAGAAAGUCUGGCCCCUCUGUAUUGUGAAUGAAAAGAAGCAAUCCAUUUAGUUGGUCUGUCCGAAACUUCAGGGAGAUCUCGAAGUCCUUCCCAGCAUGAAAUUUAUCGGAAUGAAGCUCCAGGAAUCCUUUAAGAGAAGAGUGUGUGCACACAUUAGCAUCUGGCAGACAGUGCGAGAGUGUGGCGAACGUCUGAGAAAGUUGUACUACGGAGGUGUUUCUGCAGCCACAGAAGCAAUACUACGAUAAUAUGUAUUUCCACUUCCUGUGAAACUCACCACGCCUCUUCCGGAGGAUGGCAUGACCUUGAGGCAACCCGCCCACAAAUAGUCCGGUGUAGCCUCCCAUCACGGAGCUUCCAUUCAGAGAAGUCGAGGAGCCUGUGGGAGAGGAGAUGAGAAUUACAGCUUCCUCUGGGGAAUCUUCACAGUGAGACUCAUCACAGAUCUUUGGUACCCAGAUCUCCUGCAUCUGCUUUGCCUCCUUGUCUAUUAGCUUCCAGAUAGACAGCUGCUGUACACCUGCAUCUCAUCAGCAUCCCCUCUGUCUGCUACGGAACUGGCCUCCUUGUCAGACCCUAACAUGUAACAUAAAGUGUUCUCACAUCCCAAGGCCUUGCCCACCAUCGCCCUCAUCCCAGCCUGAUGUCUACUUUUUGUUUUGUUUUGUUUUGACUCCAAACAUACAUAUUUCUUUCUAGAUAUUUUCAUGUUUCCUUUCUUGGUCCCCUCAUUUCUAUGCUCAAAUACUAUAAGAAAGUCCUUAC